AAAUAUGAGAAAAUUAUCGAGUUUGCCGACAGACGAAAAAGGAAAAUGACUCUUGGCUCUUUGAUGUACUGGGAUAAGAAUCAAGAAAACACAUGUAUUACCUUUUCACAUACGAAGAUACUUAUAGAAUACGUUGAAUCGUUUACGGUAGUAUCAAUUGGAGUUAAAAAAGUUUCACGAGAGUCAGAGUUUCCCGUUUCCCAUUGACUCUAUAAUUUAAUUUUCCAAAUUGAACGGUAAGCUAACGAUGAUACAUGGUAUCUUCCAAAAAUUCCUAUCAAGGAAACGACGUCAUCGUUCCAUCACGAAAUUAGUACGAUGAGGUGCGCUUCGAGGAACUUUCAAAAGUGCUCAGAUAUGAAAGGCGUCAUAAUCCUGGAAUUAAAAAAGACGAUUAAGCAUGCGGAAAGUUGAUAGAUGAAAUGUUUAACAUCCAAGUUUAUGCCUCGCCUUUAGCAGCUGUUUUACUUUUGGUGUCAUUAUCCGUUUGGCUUUGUAUAUGUCGAUGGGGUUUCCGAUAUGACAUGAAGGAUAGUGAAAUUGUCUACUGUCUGGUGGUCUAUUUUGUCGUCAUAACUUUACUGAAUAUCAUUUUUCUGGGCCACGUGCGAUUUUCCUACGAGUAUCCGUCUG